ACGACCUUACUUGGACAGGAUCUGUUCUAUAGGUUGUACAGCUGUGUCCGUGAGUUCUGUCUGGUGGAUGAAUCACUGCUGUACGGCUAGAGCGUGACUAACGGCUUGUGGACCCUUUGGUCCUGCGGGUAGGGUCCAUGCGGCUGUAGAUGAUCGUUCUCCGGUAGGUUUGCUCUGCCUGGGGAUGGAUGGUCGCAUGGCGGUCUGACAGACU